rnacentral:rRNA from 1 species
GCGCGCCUACGGGGGGCAGCAGUGAGGAAUAUUGGUCAAUGGGAGAGAUCCUGAACCAGCCAAGCCGCGUGAGGGAAGACGGCCCUACGGGUUGUAAACCUCUUUUGCCGGGGAGCAAGCGUGCGUUCGUGAACGCACGUCGAGAGUACCCGGAGAAAAAGCAUCGGCUAACUCCGUGCCAGCAGCCGCGGUAAUACGGAGGAUGCAAGCGUUAUCCGGAUUUAUUGGGUUUAAAGGGUGCGUAGGCGGGAUGCCAAGUCAGCGGUAAAAAUGCGGUGCUCAACGCCGUCGAGCCGUUGAAACUG